rnacentral:rRNA from 1 species
UACGUAGGGACCAAUCGUUGUUCGGAUUUACUGGGCGUAAAGGGCGCGUAGGCGGCAAUUCAAGUCAUCUGUGAAAUCUCCGGGCUUAACUCGGAACGGUCAGAUGAUACUGCUUUGCUAGAGUGCAGAAGGGGCAAUCGGAAUUCUUGGUGUAGCGGUGAAAUGCGUAGAUAUCAAGAGGAACACCUGAGGUGAAGACGGGUUGCUGGGCUGACACUGACGCUGAGGCGCGAAAGCCAGGGGAGCAAACGGG